CACAUUGUUGUUUUUUCCUCAGCACUGCUCAGCUGAUUCAAAUGAUCAACUCAUCAUCAAGCUUCAAGUGAUACUUUGUAACUGGGGAUACCUUCAAAACGAUUGCCUACAUUUACCAUGUAGGGCACAAAAAGGUUGGGUGACCAGGGCCAUCUGGGACUGCCUCCUGGAGUGAUUCAGGCGUGUGAAGGCUACCUGUGUCCUGCAUAACUUCAUGAGGAUGGACACGAGGACCAGGAUGGGAUAAGAUUCCUGUUGAACACUGUACAUUUAACUUCCUUAUUUUCUCACUAACAGUCUCUCCCCUUUUCCCUAAAUCCUCUAGGUUAUAUCAGCUGUGUCGGUGAACCCCUCCCGCAUCUGAACUGGCUAGAGGGCACAGCAUGAUCAGAGG
ensembl:lncRNA